rnacentral:rRNA from 1 species
CCUACGGGUGGCUGCAGUCGAGAAUCAUUCACAAUGGGGGAAACCCUGAUGGUGCGACGCCGCGUGGGGGAAUGAAGGUCUUCGGAUUGUAAACCCCUGUCAUGUGGGAGCAAAUUAAAAAGAUAGUACCACAAGAGGAAGAGACGGCUAACUCUGUGCCAGCAGCCGCGGUAAUACAGAGGUCUCAAGCGUUGUUCGGAAUCACGGGGCGUAAGGCGUGCGUAGGCUGUUUCGUAAGUCGUGUGUGAAAGGCGCGGGCUCAACCCGCGGACGGCACAUGAUACUGCGAGACUAGAGUAAUGGAGGGGGAACCGGAAUUCUCGGUGUAGCAGUGAAAUGCGUAGAUAUCGAGAGGAACACUCGUGGCGAAGGCGGGUUCCUGGACAUUAACUGACGCUGAGGCACGAAGGCCAGGGGAGCGAAAGGGAUUAGAUACCCGAGUAGUC